rnacentral:rRNA from 1 species
GAAUUUUGGGCAAUGGGCGAAAGUCUGAUGGAGCAACGCCGCGUGAGUGAAGAAGGUUUUCGGAUCGUAAAACUCUGUUGUAAGGGAAGAACACGUACGAGAGUCACUGCUCGUACCUUGACGGUACCUUCUUAGACAGCCACGGCUAACUACGUGCCAGCAGCCGCGGUAAUACGUAGGUGGCAAGCGUUGUCCGGAAUUACUGGGCGUAAAGCGCGCGCAGGCGGUUCUUUAAGUCUGAUGUGAAAGCCCACGGCUCAACCGUGGAGGGUCAUUGGAAACUGGAGAACUUGAGUACAGAAGAGGAAAGCGGAAUUCCACGUGUAGCGGUGAAAUGCGUAGAGAUGUGGAGGAACACCAGUGGCGAAGGCGGCUUUCUGGUCUGUAACUGACGCUGAGGCGCGAAAGCGUGGGGAGCAAACAGG